AGAUUUGUUAGGGUUUUUGCCCUGAUUUUCUUAUCAAAAUUAAGUUUUACUUUUUCUUAGAAUGAAAAUAAAAGUAACUAUAAAUACUUUUACUUUUCCUGAAAGGGAAAAGUUUUUCAUAUUUGAAAAACCUCUUUCUUAGAGCAAUGGUUUUCGAACUCGAUAAGUAGAUGCCCCCUUCUCAUAACAUAAUACAAUAGCAUCCACAAUGUAGUCAUUAAAAGAGUCUGGUUUAGGGGGAGAUUUCUUGCAUAGGUUUACGUUUUCCAUAUGUUCUAUUUUUUCAAUGUUGUUUUUAAUAUGUAGGUCGUUUGACCGAAUCAUAUUAAUAAUAUAUCUUUUUAAUAUAUAUUUUAUUUGUCAUCUGAAUUAUCACCAUUGAUUUGCAAACUUUAAGCUUCCGUGUGACGCCCUCUCGAUUUCGAACCCAACAUGGUGUAAUGUACAAGGCUCAUAAUCGUGUAACUAAUGAAAUUAUUGCCCUAAAAGAAAGAAGGAUGGAGCAGGAAAUUAUUUUAAUUUUCAUUUUGUUUUCUG
rnacentral:lncRNA from 1 species